rnacentral:lncRNA from 1 species
CCCUAUCUCUCUAUGUUUUCUCUCUUGCAGGGUUCUUGGAUCUUAAAAAAAAAUUUGCAAAUGGCCUAGAUUUAUUAAUCAGAAAUCUCGGAUGCUAUCACCUAGCCCAUUGUUAUGGGAUGCUAGAUUUUAAGAAUUUUAUUUUAAAAUAAUUAUGAUAGAAUUUUGAUCAAAGUAUGAUAUUUUUAUCAAGUUCAAAGAAGGAUUUUUAAAAUUAAUUGGAUCCAUAGUUGAAUUUGCUUUUAA